rnacentral:lncRNA from 1 species
CUCUUUUAUUGAUCUGCACGCGCCUGAUUUUUGAGCGCGCGCUAAUAACACUUCCGUGGUGAUAAUGCGGGCCUCGUGACCUGUGAAGGCAGCGGGAAAGGUGGUUCGAAAGGUCAAGAAAGGGGCCGGGACUGGCUGUAAUCACCUGCACCAGGAGCACUGCAGCUCCGUUUUACCUGCCGUGUCUGCCACAGCACAGGAUGCCUGGCUGCGCCGGCCUAAAAGCGGAGAGCUUCCUGAACCGGCUGGAAUAGGAUGUCAACAAAUGACGCAGCAGAAGCGGAGCUCAGAGUUGUAGGAGGGGAGUCAGCGGCGAUUCAGCGCGGGACAGCGCCUCCGAGGAGCACAACCAGCGCACGGCAACACCAUCAAGACGCAUUUGAUGGAAGAUUCCUGCGUGACCUUCAUCAGGGUGACACAAGUCCAGCUGAACAGGAUCAGUCUGCCAUCAGACAUGAAGAAACGCACAAACCGCUAAUUUCAGAAGCAGAUGGGGUUAGAAAAGACGCAGCAUCACAUCACGAGCUUUUGGAUGUGCAUAUCCAGAGCUCUGUCGGGCCCAGUUUCACCUCCAGCUUCUCCUUAAGACUGUCCAGAUCAAAGUUACAGCUUCAGGAGAAUUCAGAUGCCGGGUCGGGUCAGCAGACCAGUUCCACUGUUGCACAAGUGAAAGAGAAAAAAGUUGCUAUCUCUGAGGGUAAUGGACUGAGGUCAUCACCGCCUGUCACGUCUGCAGAGCUGACCAGGAUCUGUCCCGUAACAGGGAAAACUCCUUUUCCAGUGAAGAGUGCGGCACAUAUUAUUCCAGAUGCUGUUAAUAACAAUUUGGGGAAUGCCACAGACUUCAGUUCUAAUGAAGGUCUGCCAAAUUGUGACUUUGGAUCUCAUGGUGGUUCACGCACUUCUCCAUGUGAAUUGCAAGAAAGAUCUUGCUCUGUAAGUGGAACUGAGAAAGAACAAAAUCAGCGAGAUUGUACAGUCUUCAAUAAGCAUCAUCUUUGGAAGGUUUCUGACUGUACUGCCAUGUUGUCUUCCACUGUGGUAACAGUUCUUGCUCCUCACUGGAGUGGAAGAGUGCGGCGACCCAAAAGAUUUGACGGAACUCUGAGUUCAGAAACUGUGGGGAAUUCGCAGGACUUUCCAUACAGUGAGCAUAUUUUGAACCGGGGUGGUGAAAGUCCCUUGAAUGCUAGAUCACAUGUGCCAAGAACAGUCCCAUCAAUGGGAUUUAGGAGGAAUACAGUAGACUGGUCAUCUAAAAGUGAUCCAUCAAGCUUCCACUUGGGAUUUAAAAGGGAAAUGAGUCACUCUGUGUCUUUGGAUCCUGGUGCUAUAAGCUCUUCCAGCACCACUCCAUCAACCAGAGUGCCAUACUUUUUUGACCCAAAUAUACCAAGGAGGAAUCCCCAAACUGGCCAACAAGAAGCACUUUCAUCUGCAAGCUCUAAACUGGCAAACAGCAGUUUGCCUCUGUCAUUGAGAAAAUCAAAUUCCAACGACAGAAGCUCCAACAAAACCUCUACCUUCCCUGAGGCAAACCUUUCACGUGUAAAAGGUUUUCCAAAUGAUCAAAACCAAAACAUGCUGACAAAGCAACACUCUCAACAAAACACAAAUGAGGAAGACAGACAGAAGUCCCUUUUUAUUCCAUCGUCUAGUUCUUAUAGGACUAAUGAAACUGGACCUGUCCUUUCCCCAAGGUCUUUCAGUCAGAAAGUGGUACACAAGGCAGAGGAUCCUGCCUUUACCCAACAACCCAAUGCAGUAAAUAACAAUCUAACCACUGUUGCACCAUUCAGUCACUCACUUCAGACAAAAGGACUUUCAGCAAUUCAACAAAACUCCACAGUUUUGGAAAAAAAAUCGGAAUCCUGUUUGGACACUUCCAUCUCCCCUUUAUCCAGACAGUCCUUAUAUGGUCACACUACCAUUACAAAAACUCAUUCUCUUCCCAGACGACCCACUCUGACAUCCACCUCUUGGUGGAAACAAGUUUCUCAAGAAGGAAAUUAUCUCGCCGUUGAUAAAACAACCAAAGAACAGUCAAAAACGGCUGUGGUUCCUCCAUUUAAUCAUAGUGACCAAAUGGUCUAUUUAAAUCUGAAUGACAACAAGCAACUGGAUAAUCAUAUCUCAAGUAACAACAACCUAGCAGAGUUGCUACUCAAAGAUGAUGUGAUCUCUGCUGUGAAGACAUCGUCAACUGACACAAGGAGACCGGACAAACAGGAGUGUGUGUCAGUUGUGAACAAAGAACCACAUAAAUCUUACAGCAUGCCAGAUGUAUUGAGCUGUAGAAUAAGCAAACCAACUGUGCCACUGAUGCCAAAGAACACUAAAGAUUUCCCGAAGCUUGAAGUAAGUAAUAGUUCCUUUAAAGCAAAUGUGAUUAAAAUUCCACCCACAUUGAUGACCCCCAAGUGGGCUGAUACCAUGCCAGAAACCAAUCCCAGACACAAAACUGGUGAUUGUCUGUCCAACACCUCAACUCUACCUUCUCCAAACAUGGACUCACAAAAGUUUGCCAAGUCUUAUGGUUUCCCCACUACUGUUAAUAGCCAAGUUGCUGCUUCUAAGGCUUCCUCUCCAAACAGAAAAAUAUGUUCUUUCCAUUUGUACACAGUUCCCUCUGAGACUCCUGCCCAACCCUCUUCACCACAAGCACCCAAAGUUACAAGCAAUCCCACUCCUAUUGGAUUUGAACGAAGUUAUGCUUGCAUCCCCAAACUUUAUUCUUCUAAAAAUCCAUCCAGCUAUACUCCUACAUUCAGCUUUCCCUCAAAAAUGAAUGGUAGCUCUGUAUCUGUCAGUUCCAUCACAUUGUACAGUGUUCCCAAAUCUCCUUCUUUCUCUCAUGCAGCCACAUCACCCACUUCUACCACAUCCACUUUACUGACUCCACCUUUAACCCCAGUCAUUCCAAGCCCCAACUCAGAAGCCUCCAUCUCCAAGGGAGAAAAUGUUUCUUGCAAAAUCCGAGAACAAGAACCUAAGAAAUCAACUGCAGAGAUGGGGGAUAAAAGAGUGAGACGAGUAACAUGGGGGGACCCAGUGGAUGUACACUCUUUAGAUUCUGAAAAUAUGCGAAAUCCAAAGCUACCAUCUCACUCAAUGUCAAAUCAAACCCUUUUUCCAUUUGCUCAAUCAGCUGAUUCAGAAAAAGAAUCAUCUCCUGUCAUUUCUCCCAGCUCUAAAGUGUCCAGCAUACAGGAUAAAGUUGGGGGAAAGUAUCGUUCUCUAUCAUCUGAUUGUGCUGACUUGGCAGCCUGUGGCAAAUACAGAUGUGGAGACUCUGUGACUUUUGAGAAGGAAAGACCAGAUUUAAAGACUCAUAGGCAAGAACGGACACUGUCGGCAGAGUCAGGCAUAACUCAGAGUCAACUUUCCUCUUCUUCCCAAUCUUAUGACUUUUCAAAUAACCUUCGUUACAGUACCACACCUUACUCCACUCUCAUGUCUAGCAGACAGGUACAGGAAGAAAUAAAACCCAAACCCAAACGCAACCGAUUCCCACUUUUUUCUCCACCAACUCAUUCAAAUUUUAUACAACAUGCAUUAGAACAUGAGCACUCUACAACAACAAAAAUGUCUAAGCGCCCCAUGUCACCUGUAAGGCCAAGUCUGCCUCUCUCCUUACCCCCCCAAAACUUAACUACCUUGAAAGAAAGCUCAACAAGUAGACUGUCAAAUAUUGAUCAUAUCAACAACAACCAUAGCAAAGACAACACUCAAGACUCGAGACCAGACAGCCAGUUACAACUCCUGGACAACAGAGUUCACAUUACCUUACAUUCAGCACCAGGUGAUGAAGCUGAUGGCACCACCUCAACGUGUGUAACUGAGACAUUGGUUUAUAGGGUUAAGCCCAAAGUCGAUAAAGAUGGAGCUGUCCCAAGAAACGCCACACCCAAACCAUUGAACUACACUCAAAAAACAGGAGUUUAUGUGGAGCCCAGAUUUAGUAAACAGACCCAGACAGUCCAGUGUAAAGAAGUAGUUGAUCAAUCAAAUAAUUUGUUUCACAGCUCAAAAGCUAGUCAAACGCCUGUUAGUGAAUUUAGCCAUCAAAAUAUGAAGGACAGCACGUUUGGUAAAAGCAUUUCUAUGGAAGUCAACAAUGAGCAGAGCCCUAGAAAAACCCACUCGGACAUGAAAAAAAGUCUCACUUUACCAAACCCUAACUCAUCAAAUUCAGAGUCAGAGAGGACCAGCAAAAAUUCAAACAAAGUAGAUCAGAUGUUAAACAAACUGAAGCAAAGAUUCAGUUCUAAACGGUCUGAUGAGGAUUUAUCCUUUCCAUGGAAAUGGAGGCGAGCCUCUCAAACCCUUUCUGUCAGUGGAUUAAGUGAUGUGAGCUCUGUCAGUGACAACAGUACCGACAGUACUAAAACACUUGAGGAGCAGGUCCAGCAAACAGAGAUGGUACCUAACAGUACAGAGGCCACAAGUAAGAAGUCACAAAAAAGAUUUGCUUCACUUGUCCCAAGUGAUAGAAAAUCAGCUGGAGGCCAGUUUGCCAUUCAGUCAGAAAAAUCUUCUAUUGAAAAUCAACAUAACUUUGGCACAGAGCAAACUUCUAAACCUAAAGUUCAUUUGACAGUCCAAAAUCCAGAAAAUAUCCAGUCUGACUCAGACCUUAGUGCUGGUAUGGCCUCCAUAACCACUGCUGCUUCUCAGUGUGGUAAGUCAACUCCCAGUCCCAGAAGCCCCAGGAGUCCUUUCUCCCCCUUUACAACUCUUACUCCUCUCUCACCAUUUUCCCCAUCUGAUGUAAUGGAUGACAAUGUCUUUUACAGCCCAAAAUUGCAACGUCACAGGGAGUCAACCUGUGAACCAGGGGAAGGAAUGAGCUUAGGUCCAAGGAGACGGGCUUCCACUGGCCCUCCAAGAAAUUCAGUCCUGGACAGCAGCCUUUUGACUUCUUCUUAUGCAGACCUGAAAUACGGGAUUGAGCCUGGAAGAUCCUUUUCUGUUAGCUCAGUUCUUUCCAAUCGUCCCUCAGGGUCUGAAAGGAAUUCUACUCGUUCCAGGUUUAUGAGUGUGGGAGAUCUUUCUCAGUCUGGGUUGUCUUGUGGAACCAGUGGCACAGGUUUGGAUCAGGGACCUUCAACACCAAACUGGACUGAAGAAUUGGGUACAAAGCAUUACCGUCAAAUGUCAAAGUUUUACAGUGAUCCAGACAAAAUGCGAUCUAGGUCCCUGCCUAGAUCUUGGACCCAAUGUUUAUCAAGCUGUAACAUGGCAGCACCUUCUUCUCAACCCGCUACCACCUCGAAACGAACUCGCCUUCGGGGUCCUAGCAUUAACACAUGUCAUUUUGCAUGGGAUACAGAGGGUCCCCCUACUCCUCCUCCAACCCCUCCCCUCUCACCAGUCUCCAAAUGCAUGUCCAAAGCUUUCAAACUUCCUUCUCCUACAUUACCUUGCACAUCUGGAGUCCUGCAGCAGCCAGAUGGCCAACCUUCUAGAGUAAAUUUGCCCUCCAAAGGUUACAUGGCAAGCCUGGGCACUUUUGACGAAUCCUCUGACAACAGCUCCGACACCACGACAGAUGAUGAAUAUUACUUAGAACCAGAUGAUGAUGGAGAGAAGGAGACAGAGCUGUGAAAGAAGGAGACUUUAUGCUUAAAUAAGCGAUGGCAUGGCAUGAAAGAUGGUAUUAAUUUUUGUCAGUAAUUACCUCUGUCCUUUUAUUUUGUCUUGGUUAAGUAAAAUAUCUAAAUUAAUAACUGGAAAUUUUGGUUACUGUUUAAUUAUGCUCUUAUUUUCCUUAUAGUCCUACUGUAGUAAAAAGCAUGAUAUAAACUCAGCUUAAGAUUCUUGGUUGGACGGGCUUAUGUAUGUACACUGUACUUGUGUAUGAUUGUAUUUGUGCUUUUUAUAAUUGACAAAUUAGGUUUGGUUGCAUGGCACUAUGCAAAAGAGGUAUUAAGAUUUAAUUUGUUGGAAUAGGGCAAGAUUUGAUCUAGUCGUACCGGAUCCAACAGUAGCAUAAAUGACACAAGUGUCAUCACUUUUAGACUUUGCUGAUUUGAUGCUAAGAUUACUGGGUGUAAAACUUUUUUAAAAUCGUUUUAAGGUUGUUUUUUUAGGUAUCUAAUAUGACCAUCAUAUUUUAGUUCUGAAAAUAAUGCAGACUUUAUAAAAAGUUAAAACGAGGAUACACUUGUGAGAAACAUCUGAAGAACAUUCAGAACUAUCUGGUCAAAAUUGUUGGUUACUGCAGAGUUCACCUUAGUCUACUCAUGUUUGUGUUCCCAGACAAACAAACACGCCCACUGUAUCACUACCAGAACACCGAACUUAUUUAAGUUUUGAAAGACAAUUUGUUUUGAAUUUGGAUGCAACCCAGUUGAUUCAAUAUCAAUUUGUGUCCAUUUUUGUUGGAUGUAUUUGUUGAAAACCAGAAAGUGUGCACCUCAUACCAGUUGUUAAGCACAGUAGUGGAGUGCUGAUGAUUUGGGAUUGGGAUUUUAUUUAUUUAAAGCUACACAAUAUAAAAAACUUGGAUUAAGUUAUUUUAAAUAUUCUACAUUCAAAGUAUUUUGUUUAAAAAAACAGUCACAUCUGUCUGGGAGUUUAACAAUAACUGUAUCUAGCAGCUCAACAGGGUGUUGCCCUUUUCUAACUCCAGACCUGACUUAAGGUCAGUCUACAGCACUUCGGUGAACUUUGAUGGAAAAGGUUCACACAGAUGGACCUAGGGCUUGAACAGAGAAGUGGAUCAUAGUUCUCCAAAAUCAUGCGAGAGAUAAAUAAACAAAAAGUUUUUUUCAAGAGGUGUUUUUGAAAAUUAAAAUCAAAACUUUUUCUUACAUCUGCUUAAUUUUCUAUUUUAUUUAAAGAUUGUUAAUUAUAAUUUUAUUUGUUUAAUUUAAAGACCUAGUGAAGACAAUAUGUUAAGCUCUGAUGUCUUUAACUUCAGAAAUUAAAGAGGGUGUACUUGUUUGCCCACAUGUAUGUACAUAUAAAUAUUAAUAUAUGUGUAGUUAUUUUGAAAAGCAAAUAUUUGUUCAACUCAACCCCCCUUUAGGUUUGUUUUUCUGCCAUUUCAGAAUCUGUCUCCAAAAAUUGCAUAGCCACUCAAAUAUUUUCUAAACUCCUUCUUUGGAAUAUUGUUGUAAAAAUUGUACAUUGGGAUGAAAUGACAACAUAAUAAAAUAUUUGCUAAAAUAUAAAAUGCUGGUGCCUAAUCUUAUGUGUAGAGAUGAUCUCAAAUCUUAAUAUAUCUGUUUUAUAAUAAAAGUGAUGUUUCUAAUGACUUUCCUUGUGCUUUUUUUUUUUUUUUUUUUUUUUUUUUUACUCUAUUUUGUUUUUAAAAUGUCAGUUUGAAUGGAAAACAAAGCUGCUUAAGGCGACAAUUUGAUGCAGCUUUUCUGGAGUUACAACUGUGUUUGCAUUACUAGCGACCGAAGACCUGCUAUGGAGACGGCAGGAUAAACCCUCCUUUUGCCCUGAGAGUGUAAUCAGUGUGUCGUGUUUACUGGCAGUUAACUCUGGUUUUUUUAACCUUGCGUGAGACUUUCACAUUGAGGCAGCACAUUCCGCUUUGUCUUGUUAAGCUUGACGUUAUCAGGGAAAGACACUAGCAGCCUCAAAUCACUUUUUCCAUUUUAACUCACCAAAGGAAAAUAGAGCACUGAUAACAUGUACAGAUGUGGUGCAGCCCAGCCCUGUGAACACACAUCCUAAAAGGUGGCCAUGGUGAUUAUUGGCAUAUGAGUCAGUCAAUGGGCGGCUGGUAUAAAGGCCUGCAGGAAACUUUGUGGAGUUGGCUUUUGUUUCCCGACAGGAUAAAGAUCGAAAAUGUCAAUAUUUAAACGCUGAUAAACUGUGUGCUGUUGAUUAGGAAGUGGGCUAUCAAAAAACCUGCAUACCAAACAGGAAACUGUUGGUUUGCUGUUCAAAUCAGAGAAACCCACCUUGUUUAAAUAUUUUCUUUUGAAGUCAUAAGGUUGCUGCGGUUUCUUGAAUUAAAAAAGGUUUGCUUUUUAUUAGAGUGGCUUCAAACAUCAUUGGGGUAUCAUGUGUGCAUGCUCAGCAGGUGCAGAAUUACUGCAAGACAAAAACUCAAACAGGAAAAACGAC